rnacentral:rRNA from 1 species
CGGGGUGAGUAACGCGUGGGUAACCUGCCUUGUACUGGGGGACAACAGUUAGAAAUGACUGCUAAUACCGCAUAAGCGCACAGCAUCGCAUGAUACAGUGUGAAAAACUCCGGUGGUACAAGAUGGACCCGCGUCUGAUUAGCUAGUUGGUAAGGUAACGGCUUACCAAGGCGACGAUCAGUAGCCGACCUGAGAGGGUGACCGGCCACAUUGGGACUGAGACACGGCCCAA